UCUCAAACUCUGAAACUCAAGGGAUCCACCUGCCUUGGCCUCUCAUUAAGCUCUCAGUGUUUUUAAAUCACAACACUGUGAAAACCUAGUAAAAACUGUGAACCCUCUACUUAGCAAAAUGAAAAUAAAUAUCUAUUUAUAAAAAUCUCCAUUCAAUUUCCCUGAAUUCCUAAGUGUUCCAAAUUCCUAGGGUAAGAAUUCCUGCUUUAGAAUUUGGGUUGGGGGUGGGAAUCUUAACACUUUAAUUUGGAUGCAGUUUGAAAAAACAUUUUGUGGCUACAUAAUACAAGUACAUAUUUAUGGGGUAUUGAGACACAUUUUAUGUCAGAGCAAAAAUACUAAACUCUUUAUAUACUGAGAGAUCUUGAACUUACAUUAAAUUAUUUUCAACUACAGUUUAUAGUUCCUGGGACAAAACUAUCAUUUUUCAGAAAAUCUGGCAUCCUUGGAAUUGAGAAAAAAAUCUGUCUGUUGGUGAGCAAAUCAUUUUUUAAAUUCAUUUUAAUCAUCUGAUUAAAAACUGUGUUUUUAAAAAUAGGAAGCUAUAUUUCUAUGGACAGGUUAAAAAUUAUAUUCAAGAUAUUAUAAAUCUGGAAGUCUUUCAAAUGCACUAAAAUAUUUCUUCAUUCCCCAAAAUAUUUCUUAUACUACAGCAUUGUUUUCAUUUAUUCCCUAAAAGUAUCUCCUUUAUUUAAAUAUAUAGUAAGAACAUACCAUUGUAGGUGAAUUAGGAACAACACAGGAGUAAGUGAUUAAUCCUUAUGUCCUGGGGCUGAAGUGUGCCUGGUCAUUUGCAUCCUCAAAGAGCACUCCAGCUCUACAGCAAGCGGAGUGAUACCAACUAACGCAGAAUUUUUUAAUUCCCUAUUUCAAAGAUCUCCUUGCCAAGAGAAAUGUUUCCUAACAUUGCUGGAAAAUGAUGUGCUGUAUCAAAAGCUGACUGGCCUAGCCUACAUGUUAAAAAAAAAAAGGCUGAGGAGGAAGAUAAAGAGGAUGGGUUGGCCUUGCUGUUUCACAAGUGGCAGAGGCAGAAGAAAAUCUGCGUAUACGUGUGAUUUUUUGUAUUUAAGAAUAUC
rnacentral:lncRNA from 13 species